CAUUGGUACAGCAGACAUGGUAUACAACCUGGUCAGGUCCGGAAGGAAGCAGCCAUACCUACUUAUGUCUGCGUGUACCACUUUUU
rnacentral:SRP_RNA from 1 species